CCCCGCCUUUUUACGAUUUUUUAAGGUUUGUACGUAUUGGUCUCUACCACCCUUCAUUCAAAGUUCCAGGGUGCUUCACAACAAUUGGCAAUAAAUAUUGCAGCAUGGGUUUUGUCAGGUGCCCUAAAAUGCCAAGUCCUGGUGCCAGUCCUGAAGAGGGCCUAUAACCUUUAUUGCAAGAGCCUCUUUGCUGCACAUUUGCUCAGAAGAAGGUCCAGCUGUGUUCCACACCUCAAAAUUACACCUUUGAAAUUUUGGAGGAUCUGUUUCAGUUGGCAUUUGGUUGGGGCACCUUGCAGUGCCAAUGGCUUUAUUGCAGAGGCAGGAAUUUUGCUUCCUCUCAAAUUCAGGAUUUUUGUACUUGCAACAUUUUUUUAAGCUUUUUAAAAAGUCUCUUAAAGGAAAAGAUUAUCGUUUCUUGUGGAGAAGUUAGCUCGCUCAUCUUCAGAUAAAUUGCUUAUAGCAAGCUGCCUUAGACAGUGUCAGAACAUCAGUCCAUCCAUUGUCUACACUGAUUGGUAGCAGCUCACCAGCAUUUCGGAUUGGUGACAUUCGCAGGCCUAUCAGGAGAUGUUGCUCAGGAUUAGUUGUUGUGUUGUUAUUAUUUAUAAUCUGCAUGCAAAGCAGAUUGUCUAAUCACUGACAGAGUAAGGGGGUUAUGGCCCACUCCGGGUGUCAUCCCGGGGGGGGGGUGACAUCGCCACCGCCCCUGAUGCUCGCUGCAGGUGGCAGCGCCCCCGUGCUUGCCGUGCUGCCCCUGUGGGUGGCUUGCCCACCCGUGGUGCACAGCAUGUGCGCUGUUCUGGGUGCCAAAACAGCAUUCUGCGUGUGAUCCUUUCUUCAUCCCCAGACUUGGGAUUUUUCUACUGCAUUUAAAAGGAACACUACAGAACAAAAAUGCGCCUGGCUAAGAGUGGUAAUCAUUGAGCGAUUGGCAAAGCCCUUAUAGGUAUAUUCUGCCUAUGUGACCCCUCUUGUUGCAGUUGUGCCACAGCUGUAUUUCCAGUGCCAGAAACUUGGAGAAAGCAAAAGAGUAGGGACUGGAUCCCUCACACCCCUAUGCCCGUGGUCUUUGCCCCCAAUUCUGCAGUCUCUGAUGAGGAGAAGCCCUCAUCUCAUCUCUUCUAGGCUCAGGCGACUGAGAAAUUUUAUGAACAUCAAGAGGAGCAACAAAGUGGCCCUGUUCCAGCACCAGGAGCAACCUGUAGCACCAGAUGAGCAAGUACCCCGCCGCCGCCGCCAUUUUUUGGAAGGGAAGGGCAGGAAUAGGCUUGGGUGGCAGCUCAGGGUACAGGGAUUUGUCGGGGAGGGGAAGCUAGUAAAAAAAUCAAAAGAGCCAGACUGCUGUUUCCGACCCAAGGCUCAUCUGGUCCAGCACCUGGAAACCUACCCCAGUGGCCAGCCAGUUUUGUGGGGUCUGAUGAAAAUGCUAUUGGCUGAGAAAGGAGAAAAGGCAUUUCUGGAGGAAGCAGGUGGCAGAGGCAGCUGAUAGGAUAGGGCUGGGUGACAGUUGUCAGUUAGAGGGCCACAUUCUCUUGUGAGCCACAUUCUGGGAGCUGCAGGCCAAGAUUGGCCCCUAAGGCCUGGGCUGUGCCACCCCUGUAGUAGGACUUUGGUAAAUGUAGAAGCAGGGAAAUCAAAGAGAAGUCUCUUGGAAUAAUCUUGGAAGCUGCUAAGGGAUGAACUAACUUGUCCCCAUGUCCUUCUCUUGUUGCAGUUGUGCCACAGCUCUUCAAGGCUUUUCCGGAGCCUGAGAUUAGCACUGGGGAAAACAAAAGAGUAGGGACUGGAUCCCUCAGACCCUCUGCCCACUGACUGUAGUCUUUGCCCCCAAUUCUGCAGUCUCUGAAGCGGAAAAUCCCUCACCUCAAAAUAAACUGACAGCCUGACUUUUGCCAUUUCAGCCAUUGGACCUUGAAAAGCUGUUCUUGGUGCAGCUUAUCGGGACUUGUAUGGAGGCCACAUAGAGGGGCUUCCCAAAGCAUUGAGCUCCCCAAACAUCUGGCUGCUGAAGGAAUUUUAGUGAGUGCGUAAGUUAUCUGUUAUGCAUUAGGUUUAACACAUUUUAUGUUACAAGGCGCAUUCUAACCAAUCAUAUAAGCGUUGAUGGACGAACGUUCUAAUGGCAAGUAAGCGCAUGCACUUUCAACUGUCAACUGUCAACUUUCAACAGUCAGUUCAUGCUCGGUUUAUUAUUAUGUUGUCCAGUCAGUUUGGUUCUUGUGUUCCUAUGAGUGAGCUGUUGUCACUGACAAAUGUUGAAUAAACUUAGCUGAGGAACUUAUACUAUCUUGGGCUUCUGACUUUUUCUGAACAUUUAACAUUGGCGACGAGGAUGGGAUCAAUGAGCUCCCAGCGGCUGCCAGAGGCCCAAGACCGCACCGCAGCACUACCGCCUGCCGCCUUGCAGUAAGCGCAACCUCAGCGCCACACUGGACUCAGCAAAUUGUCCUGGAAAUGAGACCGUGCCUGCCGCGUCUUCACAACCACCCACAAUUGCACAAGCGACUGCUCCAGGUCCAAGGAUGGCUACCAGUCAUAGUCGACUGCCACUGGACUUCGAUAUGAGCCAUCCUGCAGACUGGCUGUAGUGGCUCCGCCGAAUAAGGAGCUACGUCCGACUACAAGGCUUCACUACGGAGGCAAGGUGGAUGUGCUACUAACAGUGCUGGGAAGUUCCGCCAUCACUCUACUGGAAGGUCUGGUGCCACCCAGGGACAUAGAGGUAUGCACUUUUGAUGAGCUGACACAUAUAACAUAAAAUAUGUUAAACCCAAUACAUAACAUUACCCUUGCAGUGGGAGGGCCGGGGAUGGGAUUUGGGGGACGUGUUGUGUGUCUGCCUGAGAGGAGAUCCCAUGCAGGCAUAGGGCAUGGAGUUUUCCUUUCCUGCGGAAAGCAAAGCACGGAGUUUCGGGUUGGAGCCAUCCUUCAGAUGCCCACAGGGGGACCUAAGUUUUCUCCCUUGCUCGCUUUCAGGACAUUCGCACCAUCAUCCAUUCAACUUUUCAGGCGAUCAUGGAAGAAGAGAGCGAGGAAGACAAGGAGGUAUGUCAACAACAUACAACAUACAACAACAACAACUAAUCCUGGGCAACAUCACCCCAAAUUAACCAUCAAAUCACAUAGCAUGUCCAUGGCUACAGCCUGCACCAAAAAAAUCACGCACCUACUGUUGCCUGGGGCUGCAAUGGUGCAAAAACGUGGUUACAAAGGAGGAUGAGAUACAAACUCCCCCAGACUGGAUAA